ACCGCCAACACCACAGACAUGACUGCUUUGCUCUGCCUGUGACAUCAAGGCAAAGAGGAAGUAGCUAUUUCUGUGCUUAGUUUUCAGGCCAGUGAGCACUAAGAUUUAUAGCCUAAUACU